rnacentral:rRNA from 1 species
CCAGUGGCGCGUGCUAUACAUGCAGUCGAGCGAACUUGAUGGAUUGCUUGCAUCAUGAUAGUUAGCGGCGGACGGGUGAGUAACACGUACGCAACCUGACCUCGGGACUGGGAUAACUACCGGAAACGGUAGCUAAUACCGGAUAAUUGAUUACAUGGCAUUACGUGAUAAUGAAAGACGGACCAGUCUGUACACUUGGGGAUGGGCCUGCGGCGCAUUAGCUAGUUGGUGGGGUAACGGCACAGCAAGGCGACCAUGCGAUAGCCGACCUGAGAGGGGGAACGGACACACUGGGACUGAUACACGGCCCAGACUCCUACGGGAGGCAUCAUGAGGGAAUCUUCCGCAGUGGGCGAAAGCCUGACUGAGCAACGACGCGUGAGUGAUGAAAGUUUUCGGAUCGUAAAGCUCUGUUGCCAAUGAAGAACGUCUCAUAGAAUAACUGCUAUGACAGUGACCGUACUUGAGAAGAAAGCCCCGGCUAACUACCUGCCUCCAGACGCGUUAAUACGUAAGGGGUAAGCGUUGUCCGGAAUUAUUGGGCGUAAAGCGCGCGCACGCAGUUCUUUAUCUCUGGUGUUUACACCUGGAGCUCAAUCCCAGGUCGCACUGUAAACUGGGGGACCUGAGUGCCUAAGAGGAGAGUGGAAUUUCACGUGUAGCGGUGAAAUGCGUAGAUAUGUGGAGGAACACCAGUGGCGAAGGCGACUUUCUGGGCUGUAACUGACGCUGAGGCGCGAAAGCGUGGGGAGCAAACAGGAUUAGAUACCCUGGUAGUCCACGCCGUAAACGAUGAACGCUAGGUGUUAGGGGCUUUGAUACCCUUGGUGCCGAAGUUAACACACUAAGCAUUCCGCCUGGGGAGUACGGUCGCAAGAGCUGAAACUCAAAGGAAUUGACGGGGACCCGCACACAGCAGUGGAGUAUGUGGUUUAAUUCGAAGCAACGCGAAGAACCUUACCAAGUCCUGACAUCCCUCUGAAUCUGCUAGAGAUAGCAGCGUCCUUCGGGACAGAGGAGACAGGUGGUGCAUGGUUGUUGUCAGCUUGUGUCGUGAGAUGUUGGGUUAAGUCCCGCAACGAGCGCAACCCUUGAUUUUAGUUGCCAGCAGGUAAGGCUGGGCACUUUAGAAUGGCUGCCGGUGACAAACCGGAGGAAGGCGGGGAUGACGUCAAAUCAUCAUGCCCCUUAUGAUUUGGGCUACCCACCUAGUACAAUGGCUGGUACAACGGGAAGCGAAGCCGCGAGGUGGAGCCAAUCCUCUAAAAGCCAGUCUCAGUUCGGAUUGCAGUCUGCAACUCGCCUGCAUGAAGUCGGAAUUGCUAGUAAUCGCGGAUCAGCAUGCCGCGGUGAAUACGUUCCCGGGUCUUGUACACCCCGCCCGUCACACCCCGAGAGUUUACAACCCCCGAAGUCGGUGGGGUAACCCGCAAUGGAGCCAGCCGCCGAGAGGUGGGAGGAAGG